rnacentral:rRNA from 1 species
AGUUUGAUCCUGGCUCAGGAUGAACGCUGGCGGCGUGCCUAAUACAUGCAAGUCGAGCGGUAAGGCCCUUCGGGGUACACGAGCGGCGGACGGCUGAGUAACACGUAGGAACGUACCCCAAAGUGAGGGAUAAGCACCAGAAAUGGUGUCUAAUACCGCAUGUGCUCUAAGGAGUAAAGCUCCGGCGCUUUGGGAACGGCCUGCGCAUGAUUAGCUAGAUGGUGAGGUAAUGGCUCACCAUGGCGACGAUCAUUAGCUGGUCUGAGAGGAUGAUCAGCCAGACUGGGACUGAGACACGGCCCAAACUCCUACGGGAGGCAGCAGUGGGGAAUAUUGGACAAUGGGCGAAAGCCUGAUGGAGCAACGCCGCGUGCAGGAUGAAUGCCUUCGGGUUGUAAACUGCUUUUAUAUGUGACGAAUAUGACGGUAGCAUAUGAAUAAGGAUCGGCUAACUCCGUGCCAGCAGCCGCGGUCAUACGGAGGAUCCAAGCGUUAUCCGGAAUUACUGGGCGUAAAGAGUUGCGUAGGCGGCAUAGUAAGCAGAUAGUGAAAGCGUGUGGCUCAACCAUACUCACAUUAUCUGAACUGCUAAGCUAGAGGACGAGAGAGGUCACUGGAAUUCCUAGUGUAGGAGUGAAAUCCGUAGAUAUUAGGAGGAACACCAAUGGCGUAGGCAGGUGACUGGCUCGUUCCUGACGCUCAGGCACGAAAGCGUGGGGAGCAAACGGGAUUAGAUACCCCGGUAGUCCACGCCGUAAACGAUGGAUGCUAGCUGUUAGAGGUAUCGACCCCUCUAGUAGCGAAGCUAACGCGUUAAGCAUCCCGCCUG